rnacentral:rRNA from 1 species
AGUGAACGUUGGCGGCGUGGAUUAGGCAUGCAAGUCGAGCGAGAACCGUAGCAAUACGGGGACAGCGGCGAAAGGGACAGUAAUGUGUAGGUACCUACCUCCGGGUUCGGGAUAGCUGCGGGAAACUGCAGGUAAUACCGAAUAACGUCUCCGGACCAAAGGUGUGAUUCCACCUGGAGAGGGGCCUGCAUCCUAUUAGUUUGUUGGCGGGGUAACGGCCCACCAAGGCGACGAUGGGUAGCGGGUGUGAGAGCACGACCCGCGUCAUUGGGACUGAGACACUGCCCAGACACCUACGGGUGGCUGCAGUCGUGAAUCUUCGGCAAUGGGCGCAAGCCUGACCGAGCGACGCCGCGUGCGGGAUGAAGGCCUUCGGGUUGUAAACCGCUGUCGUAGAGGAGGAAAUGCAGGGGGGUUCUCCCCUCUGUUUGACCUAUUCUAGGAGGAAGUACGGGCUAAGUUCGUGCCAGCAGCCGCAGUAA